rnacentral:rRNA from 1 species
ACUUCUACGGAAGGCAGCAGUCGGGGAUAUUGCACAAUCGGCGAAAGCCGGAUGCAGCGACGCCGCGUAGGCGAUGAAGGCCUUCGGGUUGUAAAGCCCUUUUAUGGGGGAAGAGACAGAGACGGUACCCCAAGAAUAAGCGUCGGCUAACUACGUGCCAGCAGCCGCGGUAAAACGUAAGACGCAAGCGUUAUCCGGAUUUACUGGGCGUAAAGAGCGUAGAGGCGGUUCCGUAAGUUGAGCGUGAAAGCCCCGGGCUUAACCCGGGGAGGUCGUUCAAUACUGCGGGACUUGAGGGCAGCAGAGGGAGGCGGAAUUCCCGGUGUACCGGUGAAAUGCGUAGAUAUCGGGAGGAACACCAGUGGCGAAGGCGGCCUCCUGGGCUGUUUCUGACGCUGAAGGCGAAAGCUAGGGGAGCGAACGGGAUUAGAAACCCCGGUAGUCCUAGCCGUAAACGAUGGAUGCUGGGUUUGGGGGGUAUAGAUCCCCUCCGUGCCGAAGCUAACGCGUUAAGCAUCCCGCCUGGGGAUUACGGCCGCAAGGCUUAAACUCAAACGAAUUGACGGGGGCCCGCACAAGCAGCGGAGCGUGUGGUUUAAUUCGAUGCUACACGAAGAACCUUACCUGGGCUUGACAUGUAGGUAGUAGUGAAGCGAAAGCGGAACGACCCUUCGGGGAGCCUACACAGGUGCUGCAUGGCUGUCGUCAGUUCGUGCCGUGAGGUGUCGGGUUAAGUCCCGUAACGGACGCAACCCUUGCCCUUAGUUACAUGUGUCUAAGGGGACUGCCCGGGACAACUGGGAGGAAGGUGGGGAUGACGUCAAGUCAGCAUGGCCUUUAUGUCCAGGGCUACACACACGCUACAAUGGCCGGUACAAUGGGUCGCCAAGCCGUGAGGCGGAGCCAAUCCCCCAAAGCCGGUCUAAGUUCGGAUUGUGGGCUGCAACUCGCCCAUAUGAAGCUGGAGUUGCUAGUAACCGCGCGUCAGCAAUAGUGCGGUGAAUACGUUCCCGGGCCUUGUACGCACCGCCCGUCACGUCAUGGAAGCUGGCAACACCUGAAGCCAGUGAGCUAACCCGCAAGGGGGCAGCUGUCGAAGGUGGGGCUGGUGACUGGGACGAAGUCGU